UGAGCCAAGUUUAGGGUUUUCUCAAAACCCAAGCAGUAUUGAACUGAAGAGUUUGAUCAUGGCUCAGAUUGAACGCUGGCGGCAGGCCUAACACAUGCAAGUCGAGCGGAUGAAGGGAGCUUGCUCCUGGAUUCAGCGGCGGACGGGUGAGUAAUGCCUAGGAAUCUGCCU
rnacentral:rRNA from 1 species